ACAUCCCUGCUAAAAGGAAAAGGAAACUGGUCUGGGGGGCUGCCAAGAGGCAUACAGCAACAUUAAAGGAACUGCAGGAAUUUCUGGCAAGUACUGGUUGUGUACCACAUGUAACAAUCUCCC